rnacentral:rRNA from 1 species
GACGAACGUUGGCGGCGUGCUUAAUACAUGCAAGUCAACUGAAGCAGUGGUAGCAAUAUCGCUGUGGAGGUGGCGCACGGGUGAGUAACACGUAGGUAAUCUGCCUUCAGGUCUGGCAUAACUCCGGGAAACCGGGGCUAAUAGCAGAUGAUGCAGCGGCUCGACAUCGAGACAGUUGUUAAAGCUAUGGCGCCUGAAGAUGAGCCUGCGUCUGAUUAGCUAGUUGGCGGGGUAACGGCCCACCAAGGCAACGAUCAGUAGCUGGUCUGAGAGGAUGAUCAGCCACACUGGAACUGAGACACGGUCCAGACUCCUACGGGAGGCAGCAGUAAGGAAUAUUGCUCAAUGGGAGAAAUCCUGAAGCAGCAACGCCGCGUGGGGGACGAAGGGCUUUUGCUUGUAAACCUCUGUAGUGAGAGAAAAAAAUCCCAAUCUUUGGGACAUGAUGGUAUCUCAAAAGUAAGCCCCGGCUAACUACGUG